CCCCAGAUGUUGCUGAACUACAACUCCCAUCAUUCUAUGUAAUUCAAAGAAUCAUGGGAGUUGUAGUUCAGCAACAUCUGGGG